GGGAGAGUGCGAUGUUGGCAUGGUUCAAUCAAACCGGGCAAACUUAUGCACUAGCUAAGCAAGAUGCAGGGAUAUGCAGUAUGGUUUUGUUUGGUCUGAUUGAGCCGUGCCAAUAUCACAAGCUUGCCU
rnacentral:pre_miRNA from 10 species